GAUGAACGCUGGCGGCGUGCCUAAUACAUGCAAGUCGAGCGAACAGACGAGGAGCUUGCUCCUCUGACGUUAGCGGCGGACGGGUGAGUAACACGUGGAUAACCUACCUAUAAGACUGGGAUAACUUCGGGAAACCGGAGCUAAUACCGGAUAAUAUAUUGAACCGCAUGGUUCAAUAGUGAAAGACGGUUUUGCUGUCACUUAUAGAUGGAUCCGCGCCGCAUUAGCUAGUUGGUAAGGUAACGGCUUACCAAGGCAACGAUGCGUAGCCGACCUGAGAGGGUGGUCGGCCACACUGGAACUGAGACACGGUCCAGACUCCUACGGGAGGCAGCAGUAGGGAAUCGUCCGCAAUGGGCGAAAGCCUGACGGAGCAACGCCGCGUGAGUGAUGAAGGUCUUCGGAUCGUAAAACUCUGUUAUUAGGGAAGAACAAAUGUGUAAGUAACUAUGCACGUCUUGACGGUACCUAAUCAGAAAGCCACGGCUAACUACGUG
rnacentral:rRNA from 1 species